AGAAGGAGCGCUGCGGCGGAGGUGUAUUUUUCGGCGGCCGAAGGUGAGCGGCAACGAGCGCGGCAACUUCCACGGGAGAAGGAGAGCGGCAAUGGUGGCCGCAUCUUCCACGGGAGAAGGAGAGUGGCCGCCGAGGUGGGUAUCUGUGUGACCGGAGAAGGUGAACAUUAGUGGAGGUGGUAGCAGUGAGAGCCUGUGCCUAAGUUCUGGAAUCCCGAAGAUCAACCUCAGUUUCCUGGAUCAUGGUGCCGGGAGAGAAGAAGCUGCCGGGAGAAAGUUAUGCCAUCUGGCUCACUUAACCAUAAGAAAACUUGGCACCCACAUUCAACCAGAAUGACUAUCAGUUAUCGAAACAUCUUAUUUUAUCCUUGCCAAGAACAAAGUGACAGUUGAUUUCAAAGUGUCAGUGGUCAACUUGGUUCCACCUGGUGAUCCAGAGCUUUGCCUCCUUCCAUCUUGGGUUCCUGCCAUGCUCUCUUGCUUGGCAGAAUCUUCUUCCUGAAGCUGCCAGAGAAGUAGAAGAGUGAAGAAGACAAUCCAUGCUUCUUAAAAGGCCCAGACCAGAGGUGACACCCAUCACUUCCACUUACAUGCAACUGGUAGGAAAGAAAAAGAAAUUACAGAGAGAUACUGCCGUCAUCUCUUCCACAGAAGUCUUACUUGAGGCUCCUGGACCCACCUUCUCUGGUACCUUCUUACUCUUUCUAUUCCAUUUAAUGUAAUGCAGUUUUGCAAAACUGUUUUCAAGCCAUUGUUGCCUUGGUUUAAAGUAGUCUAGAUGGGCAUGAUAUAAACUAGAGUUUGUGUAUACAGAGCUCUUCAUACGUUAUAUUUAAUCUUAUUUGCUUCAUAAAAUAAAACUUGUAAGUAAUGAUUUUCACAAUUUUUAAAAUAAAUUCACAUUUAAAUCCAUUUCCCACUAUAAAACUAACAAAAUGUUUAGAAGAUAAUAUUUAAGGUUGGUGAGGAUAUUGUGAGAGGAACAGUCUCAUUUACUGAUACCGUUAAUUUAAAUAUGAAUAGACUUUCUGAAAAUCAGUUUGUCAAUUGAGGGUUGACAAACGUCUGUGCCAUUUGUCUUGGUUAUAUACACACGCAAAUAGAUCCAAAGAGACACUCUAACCUCCAAAACCGCAAAGUGUCAAUGGUGGUUUUUACUUUGGAAUUAUGUAUAUUUAAAAAAUUUUUCUCAGUGAGAAAGUAUUACUUUUAUGAUUAUGGUACAAAUACUUUCACUGGAUAAGAUUCAAUGAGAUGCAUACCAUCUUUUAUAAAGAAUAUAAUAUCAACUGAUUAUAUAUGUACAUGUAUAUAUACAUAUAUAACCACUCUCUUAAAUACACCUGUUUUUUAAGGCCUAAAAUGAAAUUACAAAUGAACUAAAUCUAAACCCAUGUCUACGAAUAAGUGUUAGGCUUAUCAGAAUAGGACAGUCUUAGGAACCUCCAGGACAUCUUUAAAUGCUCCAACAUCCGAAUUAUAGGGGUACCAGAAGGGGGAAAGGCACAGCCACCAGUGCAAAACUUAUUUGAACAAAUAAUAAAGGAGAAUUUCCCCAAUCUGGCAAAGGAAAUAGACUUCCAAGAAAUCCAGGAAGCUCAGAGAGUCCCAAAGAAGUUGGACCCAAGAAGGAACACACCAAGGCACAUCAUAAUUACAUUAGCCAAAAUUAAAAUGAAAGAGAGAAUCCUAGAAGCAGCAAGAGAUAAGGGGACUGUCACCUACAAAGGAGUCCCCAUCAGACUGUGAGCUGAUUUCUCAAAAGAGACC